rnacentral:rRNA from 1 species
UACGAAGGGGGCUAGCGUUGCUCGGAAUUACUGGGCGUAAAGGGCGCGUAGGCGGAUACUUAAGUUAGAGGUGAAAGCCCAGGGCUCAACCCUGGAAUAGCCUUUAAUACUGGGUAUCUUGAGUUCGGGGAGAGGUGAGUGGAACUCCGAGUGUAGAGGUGAAAUUCGUAGAUAUUCGGAAGAACACCAGUGGCGAAGGCGACUCACUGGCCCGAUACUGACGCUGAGGCGCGAAAAGCGUGGGGGAGCAAACAGGG